GCGUCUGUAGCUCAGCUGGAUAGAGCAUCGGAUUUCGAUUCCGAGGGCCGCAGGUUCGACUCCUGCCAGACGCA
rnacentral:tRNA from 1 species